AUGGCUGUCGUCAGCUCGUGUCGUGAGAUGUUGGGUUAAGUCCCGCAACGAGCGCAACCCCUACCCUUAAUUGCCAUCGGGUUAUGCCGGGCACUUUAGGGGGACUGCCGGUGACAAGCCGGAGGAGGGUGGGGAUGACGUCAAGUCCUCAUGGCCUUUAUGACCAGGGCUACACACGUGUUACAAUGGGAGUUACAGAGGGAAGCUAAACCGCGAGGUCAUGCCAAUCCCAGAAAAACUUUCUCAGUUCGGAUCGCAGUCUGCAACUCGACUGCGUGAAGCUGGAAUCGCUAGUAAUCGCGGAUCAGCACGCCGCGGUGAAUACGUUCCCGGGCCUUGUACACACCGCCCGUCACACCAUGGGAGCCGACAAGGGCAGAAGUCGCCGAGCUAACCUUCGGGAAGCAGGCGCCCAAGCUGUUGUUGACGACUGGGGUGAAGUCGUAACAAGGUAGCCGUAGGAGAACCUGCGGCUGGAUCACCUCCUUUCUAAGGACGCCGGAGAUGCUUUAUGCUUAUCUCCGGAUAGUCAAAGUCGAAACAGACUCUCUUCUCUUCUCUCCCUUUUCUCCUGUAAAUGCUAAGUUAUGAAUUUAGAGCAACGAAAGAAUACAGUUCGUUACUGUGGACUCCUAAUUUCAAGAGGGGCCUGUAGCUCAGCUUGGUUAGAGCGCAUCCCUGAUAAGGAUGAGGCCGGUGGUUCAAGUCCACCCAGGCCCACCAGUUUCAGUGGGGGAUUAGCUCAGCUGGUAGAGCGCCUGCUUUGCAAGCAGGAGGUCAGCGGUUCGACCCCGCUAUCCUCCACCAAAUUAAUGAACAGUAAAAAAAGGUGGUGCAGCUUAAGCAGAAGAUAAGCUUCAGCAAUUAUUUAAUAAUUUCUGAAUUUUAUUUUUUAAUAUCUUAGACAAUUAAAUCGGAGGUUUUGGAGACACAAGAUCAAAUGUGAGGGUCUCCAAGGGUUGACGAUCUUGACUGUUAAAGUCAGGUAGUAAGGGCGCAGGGCGGAUGCCUUGGCUCUGGGAAGCGAAGAAGGACGUGGCUAGCUGCGAUAAGCCUCGGGGAAGAGCAAACAUCUUUUGAUCCGGGGAUUUCCGAAUGGGGAAACCCGG
rnacentral:sRNA from 1 species